UCCCCUGGCUUGCGCCCCCAGAGACGAGGAGCUAAUCCCGGAGAGAGAGGUGUCCCCUUUGGAGCUGAAAUGGGGUCCCGACGGCAGAGCAGGAACGCCAGGAGAGGCUGGAAGGGGUGACAUCGACGGCAGGACAGAUGUGGUUCACAUGCAUGACACACUCCCCUGGGCAAACACAGAUGAGCAGCUGCAGCAUCCACUAAAUAGACUGAGUUGCAGGCAUUUCCAGGCUUCUUGGCUACAAUGGCAUCUUUCUCCUCCAUCUAUGAAUGCAUCUGAGAAACCAAAAAGAUGGUGGCUGCCUACAAGCCCAGAGAAGAGGCCUCAGAAUGAAACCUACCUUGCCAGCACCUUGAUCUUAGGCUUUCCAGCAUCCAGACUGUAAGAAAAUAAACUCCUGUUG